rnacentral:rRNA from 1 species
GUGUCAGCAGCCGCGGUAAUACGGAGGAUGCAAGCGUUAUCCGGAUUCAUUGGGUUUAAAGGGUGCGUAGGCGGGAUAAUAAGUCAGUGGUGAAAUCCUGCAGCUUAACUGCAGAACUGCCAUUGAUACUGUUAACCUUGAGUACAUUUGAAGUGGGCGGAAUGUGUCAUGUAGCGGUGAAAUGCUUAGAUAUGACGCAGAACUCCGAUAGCGAAGGCAGCUCACUAAACUGUAACUGACGCUGAGGCACGAAAGCGUGGGGAUCAAACAGGAUUAGAAACCCCAGUAGUCC